rnacentral:tRNA from 1 species
CGGGGUGUAGCGCAGGGGGUAGCGCGCAUGGUUUGGGACCAUGAGGUCGGAGGUUCAAAUCCUCUCACCCCGACCA